UACUCUUAGCAUGGUUCACUCGGCUCGUGCGCCGAUGAAGAACGCAGCUAGCUGCGAGAACUAAUGUGAAUUGCAGGACACAUUGAUCAUCGACACUUCAAACACGGUUCCUCCCGGGACUACGCCUGUCUGAGGGAAA
rnacentral:rRNA from 1 species